UGUUCAGUUCAAGAUUUUUGUUCUUGGUACAUGUUGAGUUUUAUUCUUGAUUUUUUUUUCUUUCUUUCCUCAAUUUUAACAUAGAUAGAGUUAGCUGAAACAUUCUUCUUUUAAUUUCUUUUCUUCGCUAGUCUGAAUUUGUUCAGAGCCCUAAAAUCACUGUGUUCAGAGUCCUAAUUGUCGUUCUGUAUUCACAGCCUGAAAAUCGCUGGUGUGAGUUUGUUCUAGGUUAUCUUUUCCAAUUUUUUUAUUUAUUUUGCAUGUUCUUCCCUAUUGAACUGUAAAGUCACUUGGAUCGAUUCUUUCCCGUUGAUAGUGUCAUAUUGGGUGUGUGGAGAUGUUGGCUUGAGAUCUUUGGUUGGGUAUACUAUAGUCUUAUGAUUUCUUCUUACUAAAUAUUAUUGUCUUAUCCAUAUAUUAAUUAGAGACAAUUUUGAGGAAGAAUAAAGUGUUUAUUGGAGUAUAUUGCAGUUACUAAAUUUAAGAAAUACUUCAACAUGUGUCUUAAAUGAAGUUGAAGUCAAUUCACUCAAGAAUCACGUGUGUAGUUGGUGAGGAAUUGGAACCAGACGUGAUUUUGAUUUUGUUAGGAUUGAGGGAUGGAUAGGUCCUGGUUUUAAAUUUAUAUCAAUCAUGUUAGUGAACUUUUUGGUUUGAAUAAUUAUGUGAAUACAAGGUUUUGUUUGUGUUUGUUUUCAUUCACUUUUCCUGUUUUAUUUUCUGUUGAAGGCUUAGCAGAGCAGUCUUUUUACGUGGGUUUAUGUCUUAAUCAUAUAACAUUCUGUUUUUGAUGAAUGUUCCUAUUUGAGUUUGAAUGCUAUUGAGUUUGAUUGGCGUUGAUUGUGGCAAAGUCUGAGUAGUUGUUUCCGAAUUGAUGCAUGAGGUUGCUUGAUGGUGGAUUGGUUGACAACAUUCUUAAGGGCAAAAUCGUCAUCUUUUUGGGAAACUUUUGCCUUGGUUGGUAAUAAGAGCAUAGUCAUGCAUGUGAAUAGUGUUGAGCAUACCUCUCCGUUUUUAAAAGGUUGAGCAUGUUAUGAGUGAUUUUGUGACAACUCUUACAACUCUUUUUGUGACUUUUGAUUCAUUAGCGAUUAAACUGUUAAAUGCUACUUGUAUUUUCUAAAGGAAGUAAGAUUUUGAACCAUAUUGAUUGAUUUGGAGGCCAUGUGUGGUGAGUUGUUGCAUAAUGCCUUGUGUUUGCUUUUGCCACCUAGAACUUACCCGGUUGGUCUUGAAAUGUUGGUCUUGAAUGAGUUUGGUUGGAGAAAUGAUCUUAGGCUUUCUUUAAUAUCUUGAAGUCCACUUGGCCUAAAAAUCCCACCUUUGUACUAAAUAUAUCCUUAGUUGUCCCCUUUGAGCUUAAUCCUUUUUAUUGGCAACCACAUUACAAGCCUUAUCCUUUUUGAAAAGGUAACCCUCUUUUGAACCCUUCCCUCCUUGAACUUGAGGUUGUGAAAGUUGAGGCUAAAAGCCUAAGUUGGGGGUGUUAUGGGAAAUUUAUUGAAGGGGUGUUUACUAAUGAAGGCAUGAUAUAAAAAAAAUAAAAAAGAAGAAGAAUGAAAUUGAGGGAUGGAUGGAAAAAGAAAGAAAGAAAAUGAAUAAAUGAGUCUUGAAUCCUCCAAAAGUUGAAAAUGGCUGCAUGUGGAGCAUCUAAAGUGGAAAUAAAAAAAGAAAAAUGAAAAAUAGUGUGGAAUGUGCAUGGGUUUGAAAAAUGGAGAAUGUUGGAAAUGAUGAGUUGUUGUGUAGUGUUCAAGGAGGGUGUAGUCACUUAUACCUAAAUUAUAUCCUAACCUUCCCUAAGCCUAUAUUACAAGCUUAACAAAGUCCUUUGAGAUUUCUAACCAAAUGGAGUUUAGUCAAUGUUGAUUGAAAAUAUGGGCAAGCCUAUGGUGUGACAUUUGUGUGCAUGAGAUAAUUCUUUGUGAGUGUGAGUGUUGCAUCUUUGUCCCUUGUCUUGUUUAUGCAUGUUUGGUUUCGGGACACUUCUUUCUUCUGAGGGCAUGUAAGUUUAAAAAGUGGUGAUUUUGAAGAUUCCUAAUUAAGUCAAGUGAGCAUGUGAAAGAGUUAAUGAGUUGAGUCAUUUCUUGAGUUUGGGUUGUUGCCACUUAAAUGAUUCUUGAUUUUUGAAAAUGUUUCAUGAGAAUGAGAGGAUUCUUUUAUGAAAAAUUUGCAUGUGGACUAAUUGUUAUUACCAACCAAAGCCAUUACCUUUGUGCUUAAUUGAGAAUGGGAAAUUGAUUUGUGGUGUAUCUUGAAAUACGAGUCUCUUGUGUUUUAGAUUUUCUUGACCUGAGGAAAAACAAAGUUUCUAAGUUGGGGGGGUUGAUGAGUGGUUGAUUUCCACUCAUUUGAGGCUCUUUUGGUUGUUAUUUUGUCUUUUAGUUUAUAAUUGGUGCUUUUAAUGUUUUUUUUUCAUAUUUGCACGUAAAUGAAAUGGAGGUUCUUAGAAAAUGUUGAAGGUGCAGGGUUAGCACCAUUCAAUUAUUAGCUUUGUUUUAGAGGAAUCAAAACAAUGGCAGAAAAUGCUUCCACCGUCUUCAAUGUUCACGUGCCGGAGUUUGUGGAUGCUAUUUGGGUUGCUCUGAGGGAUCCAACGUUGGCUGUUCGGGAGAAGGCUGUUGAGACAUUGUGUGCCUGCGUUCGUGUUAUUGAAAAGUGUGAGACAAGAUGGUGUGUUCAGUGGUAUGUCUAUUUCUCUCUCCUCCCUUAUAGUUUUUUAGAAAAUGUCAUUAACAUUUUAACAAUAUGUAAAAGAAUGUAUCAAUCACAAAUUUCUUGAUCCAAGGCAUCUACUCUUAAAUUGGUGAUUCGACAGGUAUUAUUGAAUGGUUAAGCCUACCCAAGAUGGAUCGGGUUGAAACGCUCAUGUUCAUAGUAUACAUUGAUCUUUUCUCGCAGUUGGGGAGCUGCUAAGGUUUGUUAUCAAAUUGCAUCACAUUAUUUAUUUCAUUGUAGGAAAAUAUUUCAGAGUCUCUUGUGUUGUGUUAAAUUGUUGUGAUCUGCUGAAUGUCUGAGGAACUGGAUACUUAUCUCCUGUUUUACUAGUGAUUUUGAAGUUGAAACUUGAAUAUUUGAAGUUGUGAUUUUCGGACAUGCAUUUUACUUGGAAAAGAAUUGAAGUUUUGUAAAUAGAAGUCCCUAAAAUGCAGAACUUUGAUUUUUUUGGAGGUAAAUGCUAGCUUAAAAUCUCUAGUUAUAUUGUGAGGACUUAAGUACCUCAAGGUUGACGACAUUACAUAUGUGUUUGGGUGCGAAUGCCUACUACCUAUUUGUUUUCUUUUAUAAAGUAAUUAUUAAUGAGGGUAAGAACUCCUGGAUGCAAACCAUAUACCAAAAGGUGUCUACUACCUACUUGCUCUUAUUAGCAAUUGUAUCUAGAAGGCAUUUGUGAUCUAUAGAUUGAUUAAUGAUCUAUGGGGCAAUCUGGGUGUUUCAGUCAUUUAUAGAAACCUAUUUGAGUAUGGUGAGCCGUGGAUAUAAUGCCUUCAGAAUAGGCGCGAGUGAGUGUGAGUCAGUGUUCUUCAUUUCAGUAUUAUGAAAGGCCAUAAACUUGUCCACCAUGAGUAGUUUCAAAAUUCUACUUAUCAGAAAAAAAAGAAGGGCCAAGUCUAAAGAAUUUAUAGAACUUCAAAGUAACCGGAGUGUCUUUUACCUUUAGAGUUUGUGUUACUUCUUAGCUAUUGUUACUGUUAAUCUUGAAAGAUCCCGAAUACAAUAUUUAGCAUGAGAUAUUGGAUGUAGGUCCUGAAUGGUUAAGUAGGCGAUUUAACAAAGAAUAUGUUAUCUCAUUAUCUUUAUAUUUUGUUGAAAAACCUUUCGCGUCUAUACUGGUGAACGGAUAAAUUGCAUUUAUAAAAGGAGUGCAAGUAUAAUUGGAGGGUAUAAUUGAUUUUUAACCAAAAAGAAGAAGUGAGGAAUGUAGACUUUAUUCUGACAAAUCUUUACGUUGGGUAACUUGUACUCUAUAUCUAGAGCAUGACCAGAUGCAGAUUUAACCAAAUGAGUAGUUUUUUGAAAAUACUUUGUAGGCACUAAACCUUCAUGAAUACAGCUAACAUCUGCAACGCUAUCAAUCAUGGCAAUGUUAGUAAUCGAAAAACUGUUAUAAAUUAAAAUAGUACAUUUAAUAUACCAUUUAUGAGCCGUGACAAUUUGCAUCAUUCCUAAAAACAUAUCUUGUUUAGGAUCAGGAUUAACAGGUUGAUCUUCACCUUCAGCUUGUUUUCCUUUGUUUUUUGAAAACCGAUCUUCGAUUCUGAGUAAUACGGUGAUCACAAAUCAAUUGAUUUUGUUUGAGAGAUUUAAUUUCCCUUUUCAGAUUCUCGACUUCAAUUUUUAAAUCAUCGAAAGAAGAAUCUUUUUCAGAAAAAGAAUUUCUUUUUAAAAGACGAUCAUCAACUUCUUUUAAAGAAUAAGGAGCAGAAUAUUCAAAAUCAUCAUUUUUCUUAUUUUCAAAAGGUUUUGAAGAACUUGAACUGGCUUCAUUAGUAACCAAAUUAAUAAUUUUUUCACGAAGCUUACUAUUAGUAAUUUCCUUCAGAAGUUCAAUCACAUUAUCAGAAGUAAUUGUAUUCACAUUUAAAUCUUGAAAUAUGCGACGGUAGCACACAGAUUCCUCUAUCUGUGUUUUUAACACUUUUGCAGAUAAUCGAACAUAGAUUUGGUUGAAACUUUGAAUAGAAGUUUUUGAAGUUGGAGUUGUAUUGGACAUGUAUCGCACUUGCAAAAAGUUGAAGUUCAAUGAGUUGAAAAAAUAUUCACUGAUGUCAAACUUGAAAAACUCAUCUUCAAAAAGUAACCAAAAAAUCAUUCCAAUGCAUAACCAAACAAUGUUUUGAAAAUAAAUUUUGGGAAAAGGUAAAAACUUUCAAAGUGAAAAAGAUUCUAGGAUAGUUGUUGGUUUGUGACGGAGCGGUUUGCCUGUCUCUGAGGUGCUAGUGGGGUGAAGGGAAGGUUCUUAGGUGAUAGAUGGCUGCAUGAAGAGGGUGAUGGUCGAGGUACCUCUACUAGCAAUUGGAGGACAGUUUUUUCUUUGCUGUAUUGCCAUGUAUUUAGUUAUGCUAAUAAGUUCCAUGACUACUUUAGUUUCACGCAUUUAUGUGCCUUUUGUUUUAGUCUCCUUCACAAAGAAUAAUGUUAUAUGGUCUCAAUUCAUAUGCUAUGGGAAUUGGACCCACUAUUAUUUCUUCUUGUGAUAUGAUACGAGCUAAUUUAUCAUCAAAAUGUGCAGGAACACAGGGGAGUUCAUUAUGUCAAGAUACAGGGAGGUUGCUGAAAUUGUUCUAAGAUACCUGGAGCACCGAGAUCGCCUAGUUCGCCUCAGCAUAACUUCUUUACUUCCUCGAAUUACCCAUUUCCUGCGUGAUCGAUUUGUACUAACUAUUUAACGGUUUGUGACAUUUGACUUCAUUUUAGUGAUUUAAUCUGCCUUUACUAACCGGGAUAUCUAAAUGAAUUAAAUUUGCAUCUUCAAUGUUAACUACUGUAACCUCAAGUUUGUUUAUUUUACUUCUACAGAUAUGCAUUAAUCAUAUACCUCAUGUCCUUAAAAUACCUGCAGAAUGUGCCAGUGGGUUCCUUGCUCUUGGGGAGAUGGCAAGUUCUCUAGAUGGUGAACUCAUUAACUAUUUGGCGACAAUAACCUCUCACUUGGGUGAUGUGGUAUGUUAUUUAUGUCAUUGCAGAUGUACUUUUUUUUGUUGGUGAUAAACGUAAUGUUGUAUUCCUCAGUAUUAAGGCUAUGCCGGCAACCUCUAAAAGAUGUGCCCAUAAAUUAAACAAGUAAGAGUAAAAACAGAAGAAGAAAAAACUAAAUACUUACAAAAGCACCAUAAAAUCUACUCAUCAUUCAUCUACUAGUACACCUUUACACUAAAAGUAUGAUGUAUUGAAGCAGAUUUCUUUGAUUGUCUGAACAGGGUUGGUACUAUCCUAAAAAUGUCUAUUGUUUCUUUUCUUCCAAUAGAGUUCUUGAAUCCUAAGGUUCUUUGAUUUCUUCUCUUUCUUUCAAUUAUUUUGUUGAAAAUUGUGGAGUUGGAACAUUUCAGGGAAUCUUGAUGUUGUUCUUUAAUCAUUUGUUGAAUUGGUAAGGAAGUGGAGCCAGACGUGAUUUUCAUAUUGAUAGGAUUGAGGGAAAUUAAGGAUGUAAGACUGUUCAAGAUUUUAGAUAACUCCCAAGUCUUUCUUCUGUUUCAGCCUUUGAAGGUAAGCAAGGUGGAUCAGAGGACGACUAUUUUUAUCUUACACAACUUUAAUUAUUAUUGUGGGUUUCUAUAUGUUUUUUUUUAUCCAGUUUGGUAUCAUGACGCGAUAUUGAAGUGACUGUUCACUGUUUUGUAUACAAGAUUCCUCUUAUAUGCCUCUUGUUAAUUAUUCUUAUUCACUUUCCCCUCCAUCAAUCAAGAGAGAUGGAUAGGUCCUGGUUUUAAAUUUAUAUCAAUCAUGUUGGCGAACUUUUUGGUUUGAAUAAUUAUGUGAAUACCAGGUUUUGUUUGUGUUUGUUUUCAUUCACCUUUCCUGCUUUAUUUUUUAUUAAAGGGUUAGCUGUGGGUUUCUGUCUUAAUCAUAUAACAUUCUGUUUUUGCCGAAUGUUGCUGUUUGAGUUUGAAUGCUAUUGGAUGAUCUCUCUCUGCCUCUUUCCAUUCUUCCUAGUUCCCUCGUCUAAAGUUCUCUUUUAAAUACUUGAGUUGCUUGUGAACCAUGCCAGAAAUCUUAUUUUAAUUUCUUUGGUAGGAGGGGGGCUGCAUUGGUUUUGAGGCAGCUUGUAGAGGAAGAAGCUUGUGAUCUUAGUGGAGAAGGUUUUGCUCAUUUUAUGGAUCAUCUAUAUGAACGCAUUACCACAUUUCUUGAUAGUAAUGAAGUUUCUGAGAAUCUCGGUGCAUUGAGGGAUAUUGACGAGAUAAUAGAUGGCACCAUCAGCGAAAAUGCAUCAAAAGUGACACAAUUCUCCAAUUACAUUCGCGUUGCUUUUGAAACAAAGUGUGAUCCUGAAAUCUUGGUCCUUUGCUAGGUUCUUGGUCAAAAGUUCAGGGAGUUCCUCGUAUUCUCUUUUGAUAUUUGCACUGUGAGAACACAAUCUCAUUUUCUGUUGGGGGUGCCUCCCUUGUAGUCAUUUAGUUGAUUGUUUCUGCAUAUAGUGAUUGUGCCCUUGUCGGACGUACCUUUCUUUCUUUGUUAUGGAUUGGUGUGCCCUUGUCAGGAUUUGAUAUUGUGAAUGUUUAUGUUGAUAUUGUGUUGGAUUGGUCUAUUUUAGUUUUGAUACCUAGUUUGUAGCUUCUUUGUUUUUGUUUUGAUAAAAAGAUUUGGAUUGACGAUGCCCGAUGAUGGAUAGAGCGUGACGACUUUCUUAAGGGUAAAUCGUCGAUUGCUUGUGAGUAUUUGAUUGACGUUGAUUUGAGUAGUUCACGAAUAGAUGCAUGAGGUUGUCUUUUUGUAACUUUUGAUUCGUUAGCAGUUAAAAUGUUCAAUGCUACUUGUAUUUUCAAAAGGAAGUAAGAUUUUGAACCGUCUUGAUUGAUUUGCAGGCCAUGUGUGGUGAGUUAUUGCAUAAUGCCUUGUGUUUGCUUUUGUCACCUAGAACUUGUCCGGUUGGUCUUGAAAUAUUGGUCUUGAAUGAAUUUGGUUGGAGAAAUGAUCUUAGGCUUUCUUUAAUAUCUUGGAGUCCACUUGGCCUAAAAAUCUCACCUUUGUACUAAAUAUAUCCUUAGUUGUCCCCUUUCAGCCUAAUCCUUUUUAUCGGCAACCAUAUUACAAGCCUUAUCCUUUUUGAAAAGGUAACCCUCCUUUGAACCCUUCCCUCCUUGAACUUGAGGUUGUGAAAGUUGAGUCUAAAAGCCUAAGUUGUGGGCGUUAUGGAAAAUUCGUUGAAGGGAUGCUUACCAAAUGAGGGCAUGGUGUAAAAAAAAAAAUAUAAAGAAGAGAGAAAUUGAGGGAUGGAUGGAAAGUUUUAAAGAAAGAAAAAGUUUUGAAAAAGAAAGAAUGAAAAUGAAUAAAUGAGUCUUGAAUCCUCCAAAAUUUGAAAAUGGUUGCAUGUGGAGCAUCUAAAGUGGAAAUAAGAAAAGAAAAAAUGAAAAAUAGUAUGGAAUGUGCAUGGGUUUUAAAAGUGAAGAAAAGUGGAAAAAGUUGGAAAUGAUGAGUCGUUGUGUAGUGUUCAAGGAGGGUGUAGUCACUUAUACUUAAAUGAUAUCCUAACCUUCCCUGAGCCUAUAUUACAAGCUUAACAAAGUCCUUGGAGAUUUCUAACCAAAUGGAGUGGAGUCAAUAUUGAUAGAAAAUAGGUGACAUUUGUGUGCAUGAGAUGAUUUUUAGUGAGUGCGAGUGUUGCAUCUUUGUCCUCGUAUUGUUUGUAUGUGUGGUUUCGGGAUACUUCUUUCUUGUGAGGGCAUGCAAGUUGAAAUAUUAAUGAUUUUUCUUAAUUGAGUCAAGUGAGCUAAUGAGUUGAGUCAUUUCUUGAGUUUGAGUUGUUGUCACUUAAAUGAUUCUUGAUUUUUUAUAAUGUUUCAUGUGAAUGAGAGGAUUUCUUUUGUGGAAAGUUUUCAUGUGGACUAUUUGUUGGUACCAACCGAGGCCAUUACCUUUGUGCUUAAUUGAGAAAUGGAAAUUGAUUUGUGGUGUAUCUUGAAAUAAGAAUCUCUUAUGUUUUUUGAUUUUCUUGACUUGAUGAAAAACAAACUUUCUAAGUUGGGGUGUUGAUUUGUGGUAGAUUUCUACUCAUUUGAGUCUUUUUUUCGUAGUUAUUUUGGCUUUUAGUUUAUAAUUGUUGCUUUUUGAUGUGGUUUUGCACGAAAAUUAAAUGGAGAGUUCGUACAAAAUGUUGAACGUGCAGGGUUAGCACCAUUCGAUUGUUGGCUUUGUUUUAGAGGAACCAAAACAAUGGAAGAAAAUGCUUCUACCGUCUUCAAUGUUUCACGUGCCGGAGUUUGUGGAUGCUAUUUGGGUUGCUCUGUGGGAUCCAAUGUUGGCUGUUCGGGAGAAGGUUGUUUAGACAUUGCGUGCCUGCCUUCUUGUUAUUGAAAAGUGUGAGACACGACGGCGUGUUCAGUGGUAUGUCUACUUCUCUCUCCUCCCUUAUAGUUUUUCAGAAAAUGUCAUUAACAUUUUAUCAAUAUGUGAUUGAAUGUAUCAGUCACAAAUUUCUUGUUCCAAGGCAUUUACUCUUAAAUUGGUGAUUCCGACAGGUAUUAUCGAAUGUUUGAGGCUACCCAAGAUGGAUGGCGGAGAAUCGCUCCUGUUCAUAGUAUAAUUGGAUCUCUUCUCGCAGUCGGGGAGCCGCUAAGGUUUGCUAUCGAAUUGCAUUGCAUUAUUUAAUUUCAUUGUAGGAAAGUAUUUCAGAGUCUCUUGUUGUGCUGUGUUAAAUUGCUGUGAUCUGCUGAAUGUCUGAGGAACUGGAUAUUUAUCUCCCGUUUGACUAGAGAUUUUGAAGUUGAAACUUGAAUAUUUGAAGUUGUGAUUUUCGGACAUGCAUUUUACUUGGAAAAGAACUAAAGUUUUGUUAAUGGAAGUGAAUUGGUGAGGAAGUGGAACCAGACGUGAUUUUGAUUUUGAUAGGAUUGAGGGAAAUUAAGGAAGGAUGUACAUCUUGAGUUCUUUUCUUGAUUUUUUUUCUUUUUCUUGAUUUUCUUUCCUCAAUUUUAACAGGAAGUCUCGGAUGGAGUUUUCUGAAACAUUCAUCUUAAGUUCUUUUCUCUAUUAUUUUUUCGAUAAAGUGUUCUUUUCUUGAUUUUCCUUCCUCAAUUUUACAGGAAGUAAAAAGGAGAUUGAAAUAGAAAGAACGCAGAAUGCUGCACUUUACUUUUGGGCACAUCUAUUUUUAUUUGGUUUUGUGUGGAAGAAGAUCAGCAGAUAUACUCCUAAGUCUUUCUUCAGUUUCAGCCUUAGAAGGUAACCAAGGUGGAUCAGAGGACGACUAUUUUUAUCUUACACAACUUCUAUUAUUAUUGUGGGUUUCUAUAUGAUUUUUUUAAUGCAGAUUUGUAUCAUGACACGAUAUUGAAGUGACUGUUCACUGUUUUGUAUACAAGAUUCCUCUUAUAUGCCUCUUGUUAAUUAUUCUUAUUCACUUUCCCCUCCAUCAAUCAAGAGAGAUGGAUAGGUCCUGGUUUUAAAUUUAUAUCAGUCAUGUUAGCGAACUUUUUGGUUUGAAUAAUUAUGUGAAUAUCCAGGUUUUGUUUGUGUUUGUUUUCAUUCACCUUUCCUGCUUUAUUUUUUAUUGAAGGGUUAGCAGAGAUGUCUUUUGAUGUUGAUUUCUGUCUUAAUCAUAUAACAUUCUGUUUUUUCCGAAUGUUGUUGUUUGAGUUUGAAUGCUAUUGGAUGCUCUCUCUCUGCCUCUUUCCAUUCUUCCUAGUUCCCUCGUCUAAAGUUCUCUUUUAAAUACUUGAGUUGCUUGUGAACCAUGCCAGAAAUCUUAUUUUAUUUUCUUUGGUAGGAUGGGUCUGCAUUGGCUUUGAGGCGGCUUGUAGAGGUAGAAGCUCGUGAUCUUAGUGGAGAAGGUUUUGCUCGUUUUUUUAUUUAUUUUGAAACUGUUAACUUUGUGUCUAUUGAUAGAAACAAAUCUGUACAUGGGAUGUACUAGGGCCAUAUUUACCAGUAAAUCCAGAUCCUAUGAUCCCAUGUCUAUAAUGAAGCUAACACAUCAAUAAUAGAUACAUGAUCAUUAGACCGAAUCUGAUUACACCAAAAACAUAGAAUUAAAAUACAAUUCAAUUUGAUCUGUUCUAUACUAUUUUCUAUGUUCUCAAAACACCUAGCAUUUCUCUCCUUCCAAAUUGUCCACCAUAUGCUGGCUGGUAUGAUUCUCCACCUACUUCUGCUUCUUGCCAGAACCCCAACUUCUUCCCAACUUUGAAGGGCCUCUUGGCAUAGUCCAGGAGAAACCUUUAAGGUUUAGGAAUAGCCUCCAAAGCUGACAUGUGAUCUUGCAGUGAAGGAAUAAAUGUCGAACAGUUUCUGCUUGUUCUCCGCAAAAAACGCAUCUCGGACAUAAAAUUAUCCCCUUUUUCAUCAGAUUGUCUUAUGUUAGGAUAGCUUCCUUAGAUCGGAGCCAAAUAAAACAUGAUACCUUGUAGGGUAUAUUCACUUUCCAUAUAGUUUUUCAGGGCCAGUUGGCAUUCUGUUGAUUGUGACUAUUCAACCAUCUGUAUGCUGCCUUCCCUGAAGGUUAAGCUCAUCUUCCCCUUCUUGUGUUCCUUUAAACUGGCCAAUAGUGUUAAGGAAAUCUGCAACUCUUGUGAUUUCCCAGUCAUUUACUUGUCUUCUGAAACUGAUUUCCCACCCAUUAGGUGUCCACAUUCCUGCAAUUGUUCUUUGCUGAUUUAACAUUAAGUUGUGGAUAUCUGGGUAGAUAUUCUUCAGAAUCCCCAUCUCAUGCCAGUUAUCUCCCCAGAAACUUGUCUUUUCCCCAUUUCUAACCUUAACCUUGGUUUUGAUCUUGAAAUCAUCCCACAAGGCCCUUAUAGAUCUCCACAAAUUCACUCCAUAUGGGGAAAAUACUUCCUUUGUCAUCCACCUAUUUUCUACUUCAUACUUGGCCUUGAUGACUUUUCUCCAUAACAGAUGUUUGUCGUUAGCAUAUUUCCACAACCAUUUCAUUCUGAGGUCCUUGCUAUGAUUCUGCAGAUUUUUAAUACCCAAAACCCCCAUACCUUUUUUCUAUUAUCAGAUCAUUCCACUUUACCAGAUUGUAACCUCUCCUGUCCUUGUUUCCCCGCCAUAGGAACUUCCUUCUGAUUCUAUCCAAUCUGUCAGUGACCCCUACUGGAAUGGGAAAUAAAGACAUCAUGUAAGUAGGCAUAGCAUCUAGGACUGAGUUAAUUAGAGUAAACUCUUCCUCCAAGAGACAAGUAUUGCCCCUUCCAUCUAGCCAGUUUCUUCUCACACUUUUCUAUUACACUGCUCCAGAUCUCUUUAGACAUUGAUUUAGCACCCAAAGGCAUCCCAAGGUAUGUAGUUGGGAGAGCCCCAACUUGUCCACCUAGGAUUAUGUUUAGUGCCUCCAUGUUAUGUACUUCAUUAAUGGGAUAAAGAAAACUCUUUCUCCAAUUAAUAUGCAACCCAAAGAUUCCUUCAAACAGGACCAAUAUUACUCUCAGAUAUUUGAGUUGUUCUUCUGCCCACAAAAGAUGAGUGUGUCAUCUGCAUAUUACAAAUGAGUAAUUAUCUGUGUAAAGUCCGUGAUAAAAAUCAAUUACCUUUUUUUAUUACAAUUUUGUUUGUAUCUUGUGUGAUCUCACCUUAUACCUCCAAUUGAUCAAUGUUAUUGUACCUUUUGUGGGAAUUUGCAAUUAUGUGGAAAUACUAGGUGUUUCUGUCCCCCUCUUUCAACCAUAGGGUUCUUGAUCUUUGUCGCCAAGCAAUUUCUUCUUUUUUUGAUUAGAUUCUCAUAUUCCAGUAGCACCUCACAUUUCCUUGUGGAUUCUUCUUUUGAUAAAGUCCUGGUUGUAGUUUAUCAUGGUUGUAACCACAGAAUCAAAUCUGCCAACUUCUCUAACAAUUUCUCUCUGUAAACCUAAAUUCCUUGAACUUCUCUGCUCCAUUCCUUAAGUUUAUUCUUAAGGGCUUUCAUUUUACAAGCCAAUACAUAGUCCGGUUUCCCCCCAAAAUUUAAUUUGUUCCACCAGUCUUUGACUCAAUCUGUGAACCCCUCAGUAUCUAGCCACCAAUUUUCAAACUUGAAAUACCUUUUAUUUUUGUUCCAGGUCCCACCUUGUAGAGCUAAUGGUACAUAAUCUAAAAUAAUCCUUUAAAGUGGGAUUACUUUCAAGUCGUUGAAGCUUUCAUCCCAUUCUUUUGAAAAUAGGAUUCUAUCUAUUCUGGAAGCUACUUCAUUGUUGUCCCCUUUGUACUAGGUGAAUGUUGCAUUUUCCAUUUGAAGAUCAAUUAGCCCCAUAUCUUCAAUGAAAUCUGAAAAUUCCCUCAUCCCUAUAGUUCUUCUAACACAGCUCCUUUUUUCUGCCACAAACCUACUAACAUUAUAAUCACCACAAACAACCCAAGGCCCUUGGAACAGACCUCUGACAUCACCAAUCUCUUCCCAUACUGAUCGUCUUUCAAUGUAGCAAUUUGGUGCGUACACCCCAGUAAUAUGACGAAAAGCUUUGGAGUUGAGCUUCAAACUUGCAAGUUAGGGUAUAUGAACCAAUCUCGAGAAUUUCUCCCUUCCAUAUUCUGAUAUCUCACAUCAUCAAUAUACCCCCUCUUGUUCCAAUGGCCUCCAAGUACUCAUAUUUGAUCCAUAUAUUUCCCUAAAUUUGGUUUACUAACUCUGUAAUGUCCCCCUACAACUUUGUUUCUUGGAAACAAUAAAUGUCUGCUUUCCAAUCAAACACCAUACUUUUAAGUUUUAGCAAGUCUCCUUUUAUCUCUACAAUUCAAUCCUCUCACAUUCCAUGAAAUUAGUUUGAAUCGCAUCAAGAACUAUUGUGGUUGUCUCUCCCCUUGGCCCUGUUUCCGCCGCUUUUGAAUUUUACAUCAAAGACCACCAAAUUUUUGAGUUCCUGGGCACUUUUGAUUCUGGUCUUCCUGAAUAUAUGUCUCCAUUCUUGUUACUUUUCUGCUACUAUCUACCUGCAACAAUAAGUAAUUCUAGAGCUUCCUCUUCGUGACCCUGAAAGUUUGCACCCAAGAUUUUCCCUAACCAUGUUUUGUUUUACCCAUAGUGAAGUCUACUUCUCUUUGUCUUGUAUCAUUAGCUGAGUUUGAGUGCAAAGAGGCUCGACAUCCUCCACCUCCCAAUUUUCUAUUGCUUCUACAAAAUUUUUGGAUUAUUAAAUCUAUAGUCCCUUGUGUAAUUUUGUUACCCUUUCUCGCUGAAUUGUCAAGAAUGUUCUGACCCCUUUGAUAGCUGCGAAGUUUCCCCCUUAGUUUCCAUUGUAGUCCCAUUACUUCAUCCUCUGUUCUCAUCUCUGCUAUCUGCGUAUCCACUGGAGCAGUUUGUUCUUGUUAGGUGCUAAGAAAGACUUCAUAGAAGUCAUCUUUUAUUGAGGAUAUGGACCCAAAUUCAUUUAAAUUGUUGUAAAUAAAGUGGGUUGCUGGGUUUGGCCCAAUUAACUUUUUAUUUGUUGGGUCCAGAGUGUAUUGUUCCUUGGUUCUUUUCUCAUUAAAACCCUGCACAUGUUGUGCACAUGACUGUGACUCUUUUUUACCUCCAACUGUCAACUCUGAACAACCCACGUGCUCUCUGUCAACCAAAUCCCUAAAAGCAUGGGAUAUUGGUACUUUGUCACAGAGCAAACUCUGCUUUGUCCGCUGGGUAAUAGGAUUUGCUGGGUAAUGCCAUCCAUCAUCUUCUCCGGCGCUACCUCCGACGGAUUCCGACAAAAUUUCAAUCGGGGUUUUGACUCCCACCAGAUCGGGAGGGAUGUAAAACUUGAGGCCAUUUUGUGAAAUUGCUACUUCUUUCGGAAUACUCUUCCCUUCAUUCGCGACCAGAAUUCUGGCCCACUUUAUGUGGUUCCUGAGCUUUGUUUCUUCCUCCAUAGCCAACCAUCCCCAUACACUUCUCCAAUUUCCUAGAUAACUUUGUGCGACCACAACUGUAGUGGUAUUCCAACAUCUCUAAUCCAGGUUUCCUUUGGACUUCUAGAGAUUGAUGUACACCCCUCUGUCGAGCUCCACCACUUGAGAUUGAGUUUGUUCUUCUGCCAGUACCAUUGAUGUUGUACAAUCUGGUCCGCCAUGAAUCUAUUGGGGAAUUCGAACAAAAAUCUUCUAUUAUUCAUCUCGUAGAUAUUUACCCCAAAGAUGAUUUUCCAGGUGGUUGAGGACCAUCUCCUUAUCUCACUCAAUGUAGGUCCCUCAUUGCUUUCAUCUUCCGAGUCCCAAACCAGACAUUUGUUUAGCAUCCCUGUCUCUUCAGCUCCUGGUUUAACAGAAAUUUCUAUUACUCCCUCUAACCUAUGUUUCUCCCGUUUUCUUUGGAUACCAUUUAUUGUCUUCAACUGCCUUAGCAUAAGGGUAGUUGAAUUCAGUUAACCUGGGUGGGCCUGCCACUUCCUGUUUCUUUGGGCAUUUAAGAAACUCUUCAAUUUUAUGAGCAAUUUCACACCAACCAACAUUCAAUGUUGUCUCUGGAAUAAUCAAUACUGAUCUCCCCCCCUUAUUUAAAGAAAGAAUGCUCAUGUAUCUUCCGUGUUCAUUUCAUUUCCUGGUAUUAAAAUGCUCUCCCCCUUUUCCGACAUUUUUCAUCUCCGGAUUAAGUUCUUUUGGUCCUUCGAAGCUUCCUUCAAGGUGAAGCAAAUCCAUUCCAUAGUGUUGCUGCUCAUUUCUGUCCUUCUCAUCAAUGUGCGGCUUCUCUCAACCCAUUCAUACCAGACUGUUGUGUUCGUUGUCCAUCUCGUGAUGUCAAAAGAUUUGAAUCCAGCAUUGAAGUAAAUCCUAGUCAUAUUCUCCCCCAUGAUCACUGUAGUAGUGAGGUAGGAGAACAAAGAAAACUAACCCUGAAUGGAGGAAUUGGAGGGGAAAGAAAGAAAGAAAGGUUGGUUAGAAAUAUUCCGGCAAGAUACCAAAAUUUCGAAUAGUUGGAAAGAAGAAGAGGGAAGAUUCUGAUUGAAGAGGUCCACCGGAAUAGGUGUCCUGAGGUCCAUAAGGGACCUUAGGUGUUUUCCUCAAAACUUUUGUCUAGGAGCGUUCUCUAAUUUUUUUGAGCCUUUUAUGUCUUUUUUUACUCGUUUUAUGGAUCAUAUAUAUGAACGCAUUACCAUAUUUCUUGAUAGUCAUGAAGUUUCUGAAAAUCUGGGAGCAUAGAGGGCUAUUGACGAUCUAAUAGAUGUCACCAUCAGUGAAAAUGCAUCAAAAGUGGCACAAUUCUCCAACAUUUGCGUUGCUUUUGAAACAAAGUGUGAUCCUGAAAUCUUGGUCCUUGCUAGUAAAGUUCUUGGUCAAAAGUUUAGGGAGUCCCUCGUGUUCUCCUUUGAUAUUUGCACUGUGAGAACACAAUCUCAUUUUCAGUUGGGGGGUGCCUCCCUUCUAGUCAUUUUGUUGAUUGUUUCUGCUUAUAGUGAUUGUGCCCUUGUCGGAAGUACGUUUCUUUCUUUAUUAUGGAUUGGUGUGCCCUUGUCAGGAUUUGAUAUUGGGAAUGUUUAUGUUGAUAUUGUGUUGGAUUGGUCUAUUUUAGUUGUUGAUUUGUAGUUUGUAGCUUCUUUGUUUUUAUUUUGAUAAAAAGAUUUGGAUUGACAAUGCCCGAUGAUGGAUAGAGCAUGACGACUUUCUAAACGGUAAAUCGUCGAUUGCUUGUGAGUGUUUUGAUUGGCGUUGAUUGUGGCGAUGUCUGAGUAGUUGUUCCCGAAUAGAUGCAUGAGGUUGCCUCAAUAGUUAUGAGUGAUUUUGUGACAACUGUUAUAACUCUUUUUGUAACUUUUGAUUCAUUAGCGGUUAAAAUGUUCAAUGCUACUUGUAUUUUCAAAAGGAAGUAAGAUUUUGAACCGUCUUAAUUGAUUUGCAGGCCAUGUGUGGUGAGUUGUUGCAUAAUGCCUUGUGUUUGCUUUUGUCACCUAGAACUUGCCCAGUUGGUCUUGAAUGAGUUUUGUUGGAGAAAUGAUGUGAGGCUUUCUUUAAUAUCUUGAAGUCCAAUAAAGUUACCAGUUUCAAAAAAAAUAUCUUGAAGUCCACUUGGCCUAAAAAUCUCACCUUUGUACUAAAUAUAUCCUUAGUUGUCCCCUUUGAGCCUAAUCCUUUUUAUUGGCAACCACAAGCCUUAUCCUUUUUGAAAAGGUAACCCUCUUUCGAACCCUUCCCUUCUUGAACUUGAGGUUGUGAAAGUUGAGGCUAAAAGCCUAAGUUGUGGGUGUUAUGGACAAUUCAUUGAAGGGAUGCUUACCACGUGAGGGCAUGUUGUAAAAAAACGAAAAUAUAAAGAAGAGAGAAAUUGAGGGAUGGGUGGAAAGUCUUAAAGAAAGAAAAAGUAAGAACGAAAAUGAAUAAAUGAGUCUUGAAUCCUCCAAAAGAUGAAAUUGGCUGCAUGUGAAGCAUCUAGAGUCGAAAUAAGAAAAGAAAAAAUGAAAAAUAGUGUGGAAUGUGCAUGGGUUUGAAAAGUGGAGAAAGUUGGAAAUGAUGAGUCGUUGUGUAGUGUUUAAGGAGGGUGUAGUCACUUAUAGAUUGCAUCUAGAAUGCAUUUGUGAUCUAUAGGUUGAUUAUGUUCUGUGGGGCUACCUGGGGGUUUCAGUCAUUUAUAGAAACCUAUUUUUAGUAUAGUGAGCCGUGUGUAUCAUGCCUUCAGAACAGGUGCGAGUCAGUUUUUUCGUUUCAGUAUUAUGUAAGGCCAUAAAGUUAUCCACCAUGACUAGUUUCAAAAUUCUACUUCUCAGAAAUAAAAAGAAGGAAUAAGUUUAAAGAAUUUAUAGAACUUCAACGUAACUGAAUUGUCUUUUCUCUUUAGAGUUUCUGGGACUUCUUAGCUAUUGUUACUCUUAAUCUUGAAAGAUCCCGAAAUACAGUAUUUUAGCAUGAGAUAUUGGAUGUAGGUCCUGAAUGGUUAAGUAGGCUAUUGGACAUAGAUUUGAUUGAAACUUUAAAAAGAAGUUUUGAAGUUGGAGUUGUAUUGGACAUGUAUCGCACUUGCAAAAAGUUGAAGUUCAAUGAGUUGAAAGAAAUAUUCACUGAUGUCAAACUUGAAAAUCCCAUCUUCAAAAAGUUAACCAAAAAAUCAUUCCAAUGCAUAACCAAACAAUGUUUUGAAAAUAACUUUUGGUGAAAAGAUAAAAAAAUUCUCAGUCAAAAAGAUUCUAGGAUAGUUGUUGGUUUGUGACGGAGCGGUUUGCCUGUCUUUGAGGUGCUAGUGGGGUGAAGGGAAGAUUCUUAGGUGAUGGAUGGCUGCAUGAAGAGAGUGGUGGUCGAGGUACCUCUGCUAGCUAUUGGAGGACAGUUUUUUCUUUGCUGUAUUGCCAUGUAUUUAGUUAUGCUAAUAUGUUCCAUAACUACUUUAGUUUCACGCAUUUAUGUGCCUUUUGUUUUAGUCUCCUUCACAAAGAAUAAUGUAAUAUGCUCAAGUCAUAUGCUAUGGGAUUUGGACCCACUAUUAUCUCUGCUUGUGAUAUGAUAAGAGUUAAUUUAUCACCAAAAUGUGCAGGAACACAGGGGAGUUCAUGAUGUCAAUAUACAGGGAGGUUGCUGAAAUUGUUCUAUACCUGGAGCACCAAGGUAUCUUUACUUCUUCGAAUAGCCCAUUUCCUGCGUGAUCAAUUUGUGACUAACUAUUUAACGGUUUGUGACAUUUGACUUCAUUUUCGUGAUUUAAUCUGCUUUUACUAACUGGAAAAUCUAGAUGAAUGAGAUUUGCAUCUUUAAUGUUGGCUACUGUAACCUCAAGUUUGUUGAUUUUACUUCUACCGAUAUGCAUGAAUCAUAUACUUCAUGUCCUUAAAAUACCUGCUGAAUGUGCUAGUGGGUUCAUUGCUCUUGGGGAGAUGGCAGGUGCUCUGGAUGGUGAACUCAUUAACUUUUUGCCGACAAUAACCUCUCACUUGCGUGAUGUGGUAUGUUAUAUAUGUCAUUGCAGAUUUUGUAUUCCUCAGCAUUAAGGCUAUGCCGGCAACCUUUAAAAGAUGUGCCCAGAAAUUAAACGAGGAAGAGUAAAAACAGAAGAAGAAAAAGCUAAAUACUUACAAAAGCAACUUAAAAUAUACUCAUCGUUCAUCUACUUGUACACCUUCUUUACACCAAAAGUAUAAUGUAUUGAAACAGUUUUUUCUUACUGUCUGAACAAGAUUGGUAAUAUCCUCAAAACGUCUAUUGCUUCAUUUCUUCCAAAUUGACCACCAUAGACAUGAUGGUAUUAUCUUCCAACUUAUCUAGUCUUUCUUCCACCCUAGAACGAAUGGGGAACACAGGCAUUUCAUAAGUUGGUAAAGUAUCCAGGACCGAGUUGGUUAGAGUGAUCCUGCCAGGCUGCCACCAAGAGAUAUAUACUGAGCUUUUCAAUUGGCUAGUUUCCUUUUAUGUUUUUUCCACAAUCCCUUCCCAAAUUUCCAACUCUCUAUGACUAUUACCCAGUGGCCGAGAUAAGUAGUUGGGAAAUUCUCAAUUCUGCACCCUAGAAUGAUGGCCAAACUCUAUAUUUGUGGUGCUUCCGUUACUGGGAAAAUACUAUCGUUUUACCCUUUGACAGCUAGACAAGAAACAACCUAAAAGACUACUAACACCACUCUGUUGUAGCUACGUCAUUCUGCCUUAGCCUCACAGAAUAUAACAAUAUCCUCUGCAUACAACAAGUGACAUAUUUGUAGUUCAUCCCUUGAGUGAUUGCCUAUUCUGAAACCUCUGACCCUAUUGUUCUGAUUAGUCGAGCCUGUCAAUUUUUAUAGUACCUAUAGAUUUUAUACUUUUGUAACCAAGCUUAGAUGUAGCUUGUAAUUUUAACCUUUAUGGGGUUUCCCUUUGGAAUCCAUAUAAAUGUUACCUUAUAAAAAAAAAAGGUUAUAAAUACCUUUCCAAGUAUUUUGAGUCCAACUUCUGACAUCGUUGCGAAUGGGGAUCUCGUCGCAUCCCUGAAAGCUGCCUACCAGGCUUCUUAUCAGGGGAUCUUUGUCACUGAUCACUUCUUUUGCUGCUGAAUCUGUUUUGUUAGUAUGUUCAAGUGCUGCCCAUUUGUUCUUGUGUAUCACAUCUUUGUAACUCCCUUCACCUAUUUCUCCCCAGUUAGACUCAUCCUUAUUUGUUGUAAUUGAAUUUUUUUUCUCUGGUAGCUUGUUAAUAAAAUUUUCAAUUUUCUUAAUUAGUCCCUCCCAAGCUUCAUUAAAUGCGGUUUCUGGAAGAAUGAUGACUGAUUUGGAUUCUUCAGUAACUGCAAUGAUCGAAAUAAAUAUGCAAUAUUUUUUGAACUUCAAGGAGCAAUAAAUGUAUGUGGACGGAUCUCUGCGUUUCCAAGACUUGAUGGAUUUCCCUUUUAAGUCUAAUGCCUUCUUUAUUGUUCUGCACAACCACACCAGAGGUCCUCUGCUUAAGGUCAUCCUUCUCAUAUAAAAUUUUGCACUCUCCAGCCAUUCAUACUAGAUUCCAGAUGUUGAUUUGGUUUCUGUACCCNNNNNNNNNNNNNNNNNNNNNNNNNNNNNNNNNNNNNNNNNNNNNNNNNNNNNNNNNNNNNNNNNNNNNNNNNNNNNNNNNNNNNNNNNNNNNNNNNNNNNNNNNNNNNNNNNNNNNNNNNNNNNNNNNNNNNNNNNNNNNNNNNNNNNNNNNNNNNNNNNNNNNNNNNNNNNNNNNNNNNNNNNNNNNNNUUUGUUCCCCCCCCCCCCCCCCCCCCCCUUAAUCUGAAAUAGAUUCUAUUCUCCAUACGGCAAGAUACAUAAGCAGGAUAAGAAGAAAAUGUGAUUCCGAUGAAGUGAGUUUGCAGGAAUUGGAGUAGGGUACAAGAAGGUAAGAAAGUAAAAGUCUUUUCCGAUAUAUACAGCCUCCAGAGUUUUUUGAUAUUUUUGUAUCCUUAGAUUCUACUAUACGAUCAAAAGUAAGGUCUCAUUUGUUUGCACUUACGGAAGGUCUUAAUCUUAUUCAUUCAGAUCUCAUUAAAUCUGUUUGCAAGGCCUGAAUCUUAAUCAUUAAGUGCAUUUGGUUUUCUUAUUUUACACCACUUAAUGGGUCUAAAUGAUUAAUGUCAUUAAGAAUCUUUUUAAGAAUUUGUACAAAGAUGACAGUUCACCGCUACACCACCUACUUUCACCCAUCACCCACAACCACCAUUUCAGCCUAACCGCCAUCAUCAUUCACCGCCAUUAGCUAUCAAUAUCACUCCACUUCUAAUUAUUAGCCACCACCACCUCCAUCCACUAUACUAUAUGAUAGUACCCACAACCACUAUUAUCAGUCGACACCAUCCGAAAUUGGCAUACACAAUCACCAUUGUUAAUAAUUACCACCAUCAAUGACGAUAUACAAAUUUUAAAAUAUUUUAUUGAUAUAAUAUUAGAUCAAUUUAGUAUUUUAUUUGAAUUGUAUUUAUUAUUUUUUGUACAUUCUAAUGUUGAAAAAAACAGUCUUAACUAUUUAACAUUAUGAUCUUAAUGCAAUAUCUUAAUAUUCAAAUGUGUAUUUAGAUUCAGAUCUCUAAAUGCUAAUGUACAUCUUAAUAUCCAGAUGUGCAUUCAGAUUCAGACAUUACCCUUAUAUAUAAGCCAAGCCAACAAGGUGAAGUACCAACACAGCUCUACAAUGUUGUACCAAUAGCAUUGAAAAUAGUACCACUAUAUUGAGCCCUAUUCACAGCUAAAUAAACAUGUGUCCUUCUACGUCCUGUUGUUUUCAAUUAGUUCGCUUUGGUUCUUCUGUCAGUUCUUUUUAUCUUUCCAGUCGUUUCUAUUUUUCUAUUUUUCAUUCUCCCCAUUCUCACUCUUGGUGGUGAAAGAGAAGAAGAGACUUAGAAAUAGAGGUGUUACAUUUUCGGAGAGGAAGAGAAAAUUGAUGGAAAUUUUGAGAAGAGUGAUUUAACUCCCGAGCUGCUGCAUCAAUUGGUGAUGAAAUUUUAUAUUUGACUACCGAAAUUGGAGGUCAGUUUUCAUUCUAAUCAUAAAUUUAUGAGGUUUUCCAUCCAGUUUCUGGGUUUAAUUAUUUUUUUCAUGAGAUACUGAUUUCUUAUUUAUUAAAGUCAAAAUUAUCUUUAACUUUUUACGUGUUGUUGGUUUGGGAAUUGGGAAGGUUAACAGGAAUCUCAAUAGAAAUCUUGUGAGUUCUUGAAGCUCUUUUGGAGACACGGGAGAUCAUUUCUACUUUGUCUCAAUUUCUUAGGUUUAGAUUAGGAAAAAUUCAAUGAGAAUACAGAAAAGCUCUGUGAGCAAAAUUCUCAAAAGUUAGUACUAUAUGACAGCCAAUAGUCGUUUUCGACGAUUUCCCUCCCCUGAUAAGUCUUUUAGAGAUUUUACAGCAUUUUCCUUUUUGUGAUUCAUUAUUUUCUAUCUCUUACAUAUUCUCAUCUUAUUUAACUAUUUUUUAUCGAUUAGAUUUUGUUUUGUUCAUUUGAUUCUUAGUUAAUAUGUAUUUCUCAAUGUUAAUGCGUUAACAUCGAGAUGCAACACAUAUAUUGAGAAUCUGGAGCCUAGCACACACGUUGUUCCUAAUUGAGGAAAAACCAAAAGAAAAAGGGUAUCAGAAAAGGAACAUCUAGCCAAAGUGAUGUAGACUUUGUAGCUGUACAUUAAUUAGGUAUCGACCAAUAUCGAACAUCUAUUGCAAUGUCUAUUUUGAUGAAGUAAUCGAUUUUAUAGAAAGCACAUCGAGAAGCUAAGAUGCAAUUUGAUCAAUAUUGAACAUCUACUGCAGAUUUUUAUAUAGCUUUUAAUUGGGUUGCAGCUCCUCUCGUGGUGUCAUACAGAUAGGAGUGUGUAUGUGUGCUCUUAGUACAUAACUUAUAUGAGCAUUUGUUUGUGUGUUUGUGCUUGACUCAGUGGCUAGAUUGCGCAUGUACAGGUUUACCACUAUAGAUUGUAUUUAAUUCGUCAAUAUGCAUAAAUCCUAUUUACCUACAAGCGUUGGAGUUCAUCGACUGGUAUCUAAUUUUCAGUGUUAUCUCUACAUUUAAAUUGCACUUGUAGAAUAAAUUGCAUAAAUUUUUUGAUGUGAUGAUGGGGCAAAGACAAACAAAGACAAGCUAUGAACACAAAAAGCUCAAGUAUCUGAGCACCAGUGACGUAGAGAAGGAAGCAACAUGUGUUGAAUCUGAAUCCAUAGAAAAAAUUCAACCAUCCAUGCCAUCAAAAGAGUUGUAAAAGGUCAAUCUACUUAUGAUUGUAAAAUAAAUGACUAUACUUCGAACAUUAAAGUUUUAAUGAGCUCUGACUUUUGCAAAACAUGAAUACUGAAGAAAGCUUCCAAUUCAGACGAACAAAGAGUGAGUAAUAUCUAAGAGAUUGGCUUGGUUCGUUUACAAUUAGAAAAGAAAUCUCAUGCCACCGGUUCAUUAUGUUCAUUUCGUGACACAUGCUCAAUCUUUAUAUUUAUGUGGACAUCUUCUUUCAACUUUCACUUCUCCAUGUUACUGCUACUUUGUUGCUGGAGUUUGGGGUUUCUCUUACAUAUCUCAUGGACACUUCUCUAAGAGGUCUCAAGAGAUUAGUGAUGGGUGUCGUUUCAUAUAUUUUCAGGGAUUUAGAUUAGUUUAGUUGCAUAGAAGCAAGGGUUUUACCCUGUGCGCACCCAAACGGUAGCGGCUGUGGGGUUUCCUUGUCAUAAAAAAAUAUAUUCUCCAAGGCUUCAUCAAUUUUCAUUAUUUUACUACUGAAUUCUGAGUAUUCUAGAAAAUGUCCGGUUUUCUUAUGGCUAUACUAGAAGUUUUUGCACAGUUUAUCUCGCGUGUGCCUUGUUAUUCUUCUUCUUCUUCUGGACAUGCAUAUCAAUAAUUGUAUUUGAUUUUUUAUUUUACACAUCAAUUUGGGCCAAGUAUUUCUAAUCAUUAGUUAUAUCGCUAUAGCAUAUAUAUUGAAUGUGUGUGUCUGAUAUGGAUUUAUUAUCCUUCGAUCCAAGUAGCUCGCCUGAAUGUAUUCUUUUAUACUUUUAUUUUGCUUGAUAUCGUAAAUGAAAUAACCAAAUUAGGACAGAGGGGAACAUUUUCCAACCAAAUAUAAAGAGUAGAGUGUAUUGUGUAUUUUGCACAAUACAAAUAUUGUGCUUGGCAGAGUAUAACCAAAAGAAAUCGACUCAAGGAUUCAUAUAUCAUGAUAAAACUACCAUCUAAACAUAAUAAUUGGGGCAUUUAGAGGUGUUGAACCCUUUAAUUCAGAUUGUUCGGAGUACAAAUAUAAACACAAUAUGAGCUCUUCCUUGUCAUAAUAUGUUUAGGUGCCACUACAUCUCUUACUUAUCUAUUCAACAAUAAUAUCUACUACUGGCUGCAAUAUGUAUGGUUAACACUGGCCCAAAAGAUUUAGUUUGGUUGUUUAGUUUCAUAAAACAAACAACUGUCAAUCGUACCUCCGGCAUGACACACUCUAAAUUUUAAAGGGUCAAUCAUGUGUAGAGCUCAAUUUAAGAUGAAAUGUCAUUUUAGAGUAUAUCUAAAUUUAGUGUCUGAACAUUGUCAUCUUACGAAUGAAUAUCUGCUAUUUUUCUUGAACUAAUUGGAUAUUCUAUGUAAUACGACUGAUAAGUAAUAUUUUUCUCCAAUGACCGCAGUACUUGAAAUCGAGCUUCAUGUUGCAUCACGGGAUAAACAACUACUUCAAUCACAAACAUCUAGCUAAAACAGCUAUACAUAGAGGCGUUGACUCUUGCAACAUUCAGAAAAUACAUUGUCUUUGUCUGAAGUUGAGAGUCACGACAAAAACGAAAGUGUGCUUCCAAGUUCUGAUCCUUUGUUAGCUAAAUGAAAAUCAUAAGAAGUCAAAUUUUCAUGUAAUGUUACUUCUGUAUAUAUAGGUGUAUUUCAUUCAUAAAUUGAUUUACUGCCAUUUAUAUAUUUCUCUACUACCAUUUUGUAGUACAUGCUUCCGCGGCUACAAAAACAAUUGCUUACACCUCUUAUCUUUGAAUUAGGUGAGUCGGCAGAAUUGAAAAUUUCUUUUAAUCUAAUAAGUUUUAUGUCUAAACAUUACGUGUUUGAAUACCAAGAUCAACAUCAAGUAGAUGUGAUGUAAGCAGAAAAGUUUUUUCCACCACACUGAUUACUUCAAAUAGAGGUAUGUCUAUCUUUGUUAGGCCAAUAUCACAUUUAACUUAACUUAUUUAUAAUAGUAAUUAUAGUUUACCAUCUACAGGUAAAAAAAGGAUUUGAAAUCAAUUAACAGAGUGGUAAUCUUUUGCCAAAGAAAGACUCUGCACUCCGCAACAAGGUUAGUGAAAUUUACAUUCCAUUUCUAUUCGUCUAAUCAAAUAGACUACUUACUUCUUUUAAAGUUGAUACAAAUUCUUAAUUUGAGGAAUAGAAAUGGUGGAUGAUUAUGUUGCAUAGUCGCGAAUUGAUCUUAGAAAAUAUUUUUGAAUUUGCAGGUAUGAUUUAGCUCUAAAAUUGUAAAGUUUAAAGAUCACUGUCCUUGACAUGAGUGUUGUAAUAAAAAAAAAUUCAUAUUGUAGGUGUUCUAUGGUUAAUAAAAACUUCUCCCCUCAAGUUUGCAUGUUAGCUUAUAUAUGUAUAUAUGGUGAUAAUUAGUAAAAAUAAGUUCUCUCUUCUUUCUUCUAAAUAAGGAAAAAAACAAACAAAGACAUGCUUUCAAGCUAUACAUUGGACAACAUCUCCAGAUUAUCCACGUCUCUCAUAGUGACUCCUACUCACCAGCAAGUUAUUCCCAUUGUGAAACAUUUGUAAGUUUUACAAAUAUAAUAAAUUUCUCCUGGAAGCAUUUACAAAUAUAAAUAUAGUCCUACUAAAUAUCUUAUGGGGCAGGGUGUUUAUAGCUAGGACUUCAAAUCAUAUUAUGGUCAUCGUGGUAAUAAUCACAUUAUGAUUGUGGUGUUUUCGCUAUCCACUGCCUUGUAAACAAGUUGUUAGAAGGAAAAGCUGGUCAAAAAAUAAUUCAUACAUUUUCUUUGGCAAAACUUUGCUUUUGAUGCUAGAGUGAUUUUCUCUUUUAGGUUGCUAAUCUUUCUAUUGUGCCUUUUCCUUUUAGUUCUUUCACAUUGCGGAGGAGUUUUUCUAUACAUUUCACAUUACUGUUUUUUUGUUCUCCUGGACAAAUUGAAUUAUCCAUGUGGAAGCACAUAAAGUGAAUUUCAAAUAAUUUGCAAAAUUUUUGUGUGCUCGAGUGUUCUGGAUGUAAUUAGCAGAAAAGGCGUACGAAAGACAAAAGCGUUUGAAUGCACAGUGUGUCACCGAUAGGCAAUAUUAGUGCCUUGGUAUUAUAUUUUUUGCUUAUAGAUUUCCUUACAACAGAAUAUAUCGCUAUCAUAUGACUGAAGGCUCAUUCACAUUACGUUAAACAAUGUCGAUUCUAUACUAUAUAACUUGGUAUUACUUGUGGUUAAUAUGUUGUGAGUACUUGAUCAACUUAAUAGUAUUACUUCUGUUGAUAUUUGAUCAACUUUAUAUUACUUAUGAUUGAAACAAAUACAUUGAUAAAGCAGAUGAGAGAUGGCUGAAUAGUAUGUCUUUCCUCACCAUGAUUGCAAGUGUACCUUUCAAAUUGACCUAAUUGAUGGUAGUGGGUUGACAUCAGCCUUAAUUUCUUGAGGUUUGGCUGAAAAAAAUGCUCUUCAUGACAGCUGAACACAUAUUUGACACAACUUGCGUCAAAGCUAUCCUUUAUUUAAAUGUACUAGUAUAGUUUAUAUAUAUUUUAAAUUUACUAAUACUGCAAAGCUGUCCAACCAACUUUAUUUGCACCAUAUAUUUAAUUGAGUCGAAGAAAUGCCUAUUUCCAAUUUCAGAAGCAACUCCUUCCUGCUAACCAUGUCCAAAGCAUGUUGUCAGAUAGAUGCUUCCAAAUUCAACUACGAAAGUCAUACCGGAGGGACUCCUAUGUCACAAACAUAACCCUAUCAGUUGUCUUACACAGAAAAGGAAGUCAUCUUUCCACCAACAGUGGGAAAAGAAAGAGGGAAGGGGAACAACAUCUUAUUCUCUUCGUGAGAACUUCCGGAUAGUAGAAGCAUUCAGAACGGGCUCCGCAUUCAUUUCGUUGGCAGAAACGAUCCAUUCCAUUCGGGGCUUCGGGGAACCAAAAAAUUGGACUUGAGAAUCAAGGAUAGAUAGACAAGAGAUAGAUAAACGAUAUAUAUAUUUCUCACAAAAAAAUUGUGAGAUAAAGAGCAGAUGAUGAGAAAAUAAAAAAAGUCAAGCCUCGAAGCACAAGUGAGAUAGCGUUGGAACCAUAUGAUGUUCUACUCGAUUAUUCAAGCUUUGGAUUGAAAAUUGAAUCAUCCACACCAGUAAAAGGGCUAUAAAAGGUCGACUUCUUAGGUACGUACAACAAAGCUUAGAUGGGAUUGGAUUUUUAAAUUGAGACGAUUGAAAUAUAAUGUAACUCAAAUUCUCUUUUCAUAUAUUUUGACUUUCUCGGUAUUGUCUAUGAUUGUAGGAAGUAUCUUCCUUAUUUUUGUUACUUUUGGUGACUGUUAAAGGAAACUUUUUAGUUGUUACUUUUGAUGACUGCAAACAAAACUUUUUGGGAUUAUCAUCUGGUACAACUACACUCAGUAAGGAGAACCAUCACAUGGAACUAACAAAGAUGUUAUUUAGCGUUUUUGCUGCUUGAUUUAGCCCAGGUUGGUAGUUCGAACUCUUCAAGUUAAUAAAAUCUAGAUUCUAGCAGUACAUGUUUUUCAACUUGAUAUUCAUUGAGUAUUUAUUAGCAUUAGUGUUUGUUAUUAACUAUUGAUCUAAAGGUAGCAAGUUGUUAGUGUCUGUUAUGAAAUUUUCAUUGAGAAUUUGUUAGCUAUUAGUGUAUGUUAUUAAAUAUUGAUCUAAAGGUAGUUCAAAUUCAUUAAGUUGAUAAAAUCUAGAUUCUAGUAGCACGUGUUUUUCAUCUUGGUAUUCAUUGAGUAUUUGUUACUUUUUUGGGGGUAGAAUGGCUUCUAAGAGGAGUAGUCCCUGUCAUUCACUACAAUUUUGGGUACAUCCUUAUUAUGAUUAAUUUUCGUUUGGUACAAACUGCAGAGAAAGUUAAUGGUAUCUAUGCCAUAAGAAUGACCCAAAAGUAUGUUAGAUGGUUACUUUUAUCUUCACAGAUGCUCAAAACGACUUACAAAGAUAGUAACUUAAAUUAUCUAGAAUUUCAGAAGGAUAUAUGAAUUGUGAUAUAACUGGUAACAUCUUUUGAGUUAUCUAUUAAUUUCUUUGUUUUCUUUUGGGUGGGAUGGAGACAUGAUAGCUUCUGAGCUUCUUAUUCAUCCCAAAAAAGGACACCCUUAUAUAGCUUUUCGUGAUCCUUUAUUUUUUAUAGCACCUUUUCUUUUUGUUGGUAAUGAGAAGAAAUAGAAUGAUUUUCAACUGUUUUCUUUAUUAAGAUGCAUAGUUGACCUUUUGUCCCAGUUUAUUAAUCAAUGGGUUUGUGAAUGUGCUUACAUCAUAUAUAGGUAUCUCUAGACUUGAGGACUACAUUUUUUUGGCUUGACAUUUUAUUGUAUCUUCAUAUUAGCUUACAUACAACAUGACUGGAGACAAUAUGUUUUCAUACUCUAUAUUAUCGUUAAGUACAAAGCUUUUCUGUUAAAUGGGGUCAUCUCUUUUAUGUUUCUUUUCCAGCAAUUCUUUCUUGCUGCAUUGUUUCAUAAGAUUUUGUUAUCUUCUUAUAAAAUGUAUACACUUCUUUUAUUUCCACCUUACUUGACAGAUUGAUACAUAUCUUUUCAAGGGACCUAUUUGCUUCAUAUGAUAUAGCUUUUGCCUUUUUGAAUUGUUGAAGAACGAUUGCUAAACUAGGGGAUCCACCUCCAGCACUGUUGAAUUAGGAUAUGCUCAUGAUGUAUUUGAAGAUAUGGAUUGUUGUUGUAUAAUGACUAUUAGAAUGGUCUGUGAAUAGGACUCUGGAUUUUUCCCUUCUUUUUUUGAAGUCUGGUACUAGACUGGUAUAUAUGUUAUAUUUCAAAUUGGACUUGUGAAUAUUUCCUUGAUAAUUUAUAUACUACCUUUUUGUUCUUUUAGUGGAUAGAACUAACUUUGCACUUGGUAGAAUUGUUUGACAAGAAAUUUAUAGUGACCACCAUAAUGGAAAAUUCCUAUAUGCCUUUGUUGAUGGAAAAGAAAGACAAUGUUUCCCUAUGAAAGGUAUUAAAUACCUCUGCAUCAAUUCAGUUGCAAUAUAUCGAUACUGUUUAUAGUUGUAUAUCUUCGUGCAUCUAUCGCUUUUAAGUGUAAAAUGUUGGGCCCGUGCUCAAGCAUGGGCCAUGCCACUCUAGUCUUAAUAUUAAUGAAACAAAUGAGGUCGGCUAGAAGGUGGAGGAUUUGUGGCUUAGGUCGCAGGUUCAAGCCCCACACCAUGCAAAGCGAAGCCUGGUAUUUAAGUAGAGAAGGGUAGAGGGGCGGGCCCAUUAUUCACCGAGUUUAGAAAGCUGUGAUUGGUCCAAAGGCGGGUCACAGAUGGAUUUCUCGGUUAUCAAAAAAAAAAAGAGGUCGGCUAGAAUCAUAGGUUUAAAUAAACGAAGUGGAUAACUUAAGCGGUCCGCUGAUAAGGAAAAGCUUCCAUUCCUCCAGACUUCUUGAUCCAGCAGAUGUACUUGCGGUACUGUUUCCAGUUCUUUUAUUGGGAAAUUAUCUUUUCUGUGUUCAUAAUUUAUAAAGAAGUUGUAAAUAACUGAAAGGUUCUCUGUGAGUUGGAGCAGAAUUUUCAUGAACUGGUUCUUGUGCGGUGUUGCUCAAGGGUAACAUAUGUAUUUUCUGUGUCGCAGCAUUACAGAUUUAUGUUGUAGGUUCUUUCUGUAACAUUUAUAUGCGUGAAGCAAUAACCCUGACAGGUGAAAUAUGUUUCUCUCAGAUUGCUCCCAUAGAGGCAGACUCUCACUUGAGGCUCUAGCAUGUGUCGGACAUAUUGCUAAAGCAAUGGGACCAACCAUGGAGCCUCAUGUUCGUGGUCUCUUGGAUCCUAUGUUUUCUACUAGGUUUUCCGUAACACUGGUUGAUUCGUUAGAGUUACUAUCUGAAAGGUUCUCUAAGUUUGAGCAGAACUUUCAUGAACUGGUUCUUUUGUGUGGUGUUGCUCUAUGUAACAUAUGUAUUUUCUGUCUCAGCAUUCCACCUUUGUUGCUGACCAUUCACAAUCGGUUGUUUGAAUGUAUCUCAGCAAUCCUUUCAAGAUCUCAUCAUCCAAUGUCAAGACAAUCAGUUGCUUUGAGUCGAGGGCAUCUUGCUACAAUUACCCCCCAAGUACCAGUACUGAGUGGUUCUGUGCUAGUUCAACUUACUUUGCAAACUCUUGCUCGUUUUAAUUUCAAGGUUUGUUGUCUAUAUUUUUGUGCACUUUAUUUCCCUUCUUGACAGUUAAGUUUGAUAGUGGAUUUGGGUUACAGGGGCAUGAUCUUCUUGAGUUUGCAAGGGAGUCUGUUGUUAUAUAUUUAGAAGAUGAGAAUGGAGCUACACAGAAGGAUGUUGCGUUGUGUUGCUGCAAACUCAUAGCAAAUUCUUUUUUGGUGAUGUCUUCUACGCAAUUUAGUCCUUGUAUAAUCAAUCACGCAAAUGGAAAGCAACGUCGACUAGUUGAAAGAAGUAACUUGUUAUUGCGUGGAAUUGGGAGUCACAAAUGGCAAGGAUACCGAACUCAGUUGCAAAUUCUUUAGAGAUCAACCUCUCGUUACUCCUUGGAUCAUCAGACCCUGAUGAAAAUUACUUGUCCUUCAUGGUUAAGUAUGGUUCUUUCCUUUUCGUUGAGCUGAUUAUCUUUUAGUGGAUCAAAAUACUAACUCAAUCUGAUGAUGUGGUUUGUUGUAGAAAUGCUUUUUCGGUGUUCGAGAAUGCGGUAAUCUUAAAAUAUUCAGAGACAAAAGGCGCCUUGACUCACAUAAUCAGGACAUGUGCUACCAAUUACCAAAUACCACUAUGCUGCACAAUCAUGUGUUUCAAUUUUGCAUCUGGUUCAAAAAUAUGAUUUUGCAGUUUCCCAUUUGGCUGAUACAGUUGCUUUGGGUUGAAAAGAAGUAUGCUGAUGGUAGCAUGGGUUCUUCUCUUAUCAGAGAGAUAGGAAGGACAGCCCCCGAAAGAUUAUGUGAUGGAUACAAUAGGGGCCGAAAAGGUUGGGCGCUUUCUUGUAGAGUUUGCUGAUAGAUUGCGUAAGUUGGUCUCAACUAAUAUUGGCAUAUUAAUCCCACAUUUUGGAGUUGAAUCUUAUUAGAUGAGAAAUGUUCUUGUUGGGAUGUUGGGUAAGUUGGUCGUGAAGGCUUUUGAUGAUAGUGAAGUUAAAGUGAGUUCUAAAUCGAUUCGUCUCUGAACCACACAGGCCAUGUUGGAAAUCUUGUUUGUAGGGAUGUGUCAGCCUAUGCAAGGAGUCGAGUGCUUCAGGUGUGGGCUAAAUUAUGUGAAGAGUAUUCAGUUUCAUUUGGCACGUGUAAUAUGUGAGGUUGCAGAAGUAGCGGUUGGGAGGUCAGAGGAAAAGAGUGCAAUUGUCAGAAAAUCAACACUGAAUUUACUUAUUAUGAUGUUGUUGUUGUAACCACCGGUGCCGGAAAUAUCAAUGCUCUCAAUAGAGUUCUUGUCCACUUGUGCACCAGAGGCAAUCCUAAGGUUCUUUGAUUUCUUCUCUUUCAAGAAAAAAAAAUUGUUGGAAAUUGUGGAGUUGGAACAGUUCAGGGAAUCUUUAUGUUCUUUAGUCAUUUGUUGAAUUGGUGAGGAAGUGGAGUCAUACAUGAUUUUUCAUUUUGUUAGGAUACAAGACUGUUCAAGAUUUUAGUUCUUGGUACAUCCUGAAUUCUUCUCUUGAAUUUUUUAUUUUUAUAAAGAGUUCUUUUUCUUGAUUUUCUUUCCUCAAUUUUAACAGGAAGUUUUGGAUAGAGUUAUUUGAAACAACUCAUCUUAAGUUAUUUUCUUGAUUUUUUUUUAUAAAGAUUUCUUUUCUUGAUUUUCCUUCCUCAAUUUAACAGGAAGUCUUGGAUACAGUUGUCUGAAACAUUCCUCGUGAGUUCUUUUCUUGAUUUUCCUUCCUCGAUUUUACAGGAAGUCAAAAGAGAUUGAAAUAGAAAGAAAGCAAAAUGAUGCACUUUACUUUUGGGCACAUUUAUUUUUAUUUGGAUUUUUGUGGAAAAGGCGAACAGAUAUACUCCUAAAGUCUUUCUUUUGUAUAGCCUUAGAAGGAAAGCAAGGUGGAUCGGAGGACGACUACUUUUAUCUAACACAAUUUUUAUUACUAGUGUGGGUUCCUUUAUGUUUUUGUUAUAAUCGAGUUUGAUAUCAUGACAUAUAGAAGUGACUGUUCACUGUUUUGUAUACAAGAUUCCUCUUAUAUGCCUCUUGUUAAUUAUGCUUAUUUACUUUCCCCUCCAUCAAUCAAGAGAGAUGGAUAGGUCGUGGUUUUAAAUUUAUAUCAAUCAUGUUAGUGAACUUUAUAGUUUGAAUAAUUAUGUGAAUACCAAGUUUUGUUUGUGUUUUCAAUCACUUUUCCCGUUUUAUUUUCUAUUUAAGGGUUAGCAUAGCAGUCUUUUGACGUAGGUUUCUGUCUUAAUCAUAUAACAUUUUGUUUUGGCCAAAUGUUGUUGUUUGAGUUGAAUGCUACUGGAUGCUCUCUCCCUCUUCCUCUUUCUAGUUUUCCAAGUUCCCUCUUCAAAAGUUCCAAUUACUAGAAAUCUUAUUUUAUUCUCUCUGGUAG
rnacentral:lncRNA from 1 species